UACGGAGGAUGCAAGCGUUAUCCGGAAUGAUUGGGCGUAAAGCGUCCGCAGGUGGCUGUGUAAGUCUGCUGUCAAAGAGCAAAGCUCAACUUUGUAAAGGCAGUGGAAACUACACGGCUAGAGUGCGUUCGGGGCAGAGGGAAUUCCUGGUGUAGCGGUGAAAUGCGUAGAGACCAGGAAGAACACCGGUGGCGAAGGCGCUCUGCUAGGCCGCAACUGACACUGAGGGACGAAAGCGUGGGGAGCGAACCGG
rnacentral:rRNA from 1 species